rnacentral:rRNA from 1 species
CCUACGGGAGGCAGCAGUGGGGAAUAUUGGACAAUGGGCGAAAGCCUGAUCCAGCCAUGCCGCGUGUGUGAAGAAGGCCUUCUGGUUGUAAAGCACUUUAAGCGAGGAGGAGGCUACUUAGAUUAAUACUCUAGGAUAGUGGACGUUACUCGCAGAAUAAGCACCGGCUAACUCUGUGCCAGCAGCCGCGGUAAU